rnacentral:lncRNA from 1 species
GAAGGUUUUCAGGGACAGUGCCAGUCAGGGACUUGGGGGAGGCCCUGACAUCAUAUAGCAACACUGUUCCAGGCAAGGUGUGUUUUCUGUAUUUUAUGUCAUUUAAUCCUUGUACUGCAGACUAUUUUACUGCAAGCCAUUGUGGUUCAUGGACAUGUCUUCCCUUCUCACCCAAGAAGCAUGAGGGUAGGUGACCACAUGGGCCCAGUGAGGCAGGGGGAGAGGGAACCCUGGGCCCAUGGACACAGGGUCAGCCUCAGGCCACUCUCCGGGGCUCCUCUUCCUGCUGCCCUACACCUUGUCCCAACCACAUCUCUCCCCCGAGUCCACCUCCCUUUCCACUUCUCUGGUUUUCACUCACCGGCCUGCCUGGUUUGGGUUUCUAUGUUUAAUCUUCUCUCUCCUCCCCUUCUACACACAGGAAACAGCCUGCUUGGUGAUAACUUCUUCAAAGCAUUCUCAGGGAAGGACCCCAAGGUCAAGGGGAUUCUGAACCUUCAGCCCACUUGAAGCCCCCGAGGCAGAGCCUGGGCUUCAGGGUUGCAGGGCCUCACUUGGCCUUAUUGGGCCUGAGAAGCCCACCUGGGUUACAAGACACCUCCCACCUCAACCCUGGGCUCCCCUGCAAAGGCCUGGCUGGAGUCACACCUGGAGCAAAAGACUCUCAUGGUCAAAGAAGAAAGCAUAGGCCUCAUCUCCUGCCCUGGGGCAAAACUGCUGGAUACCAGAGCCUUGCUCCCAGGACCUGGACCGGUCACUCCCAGUCCCUGCAAGCCCACGGCAGCCGGCCCACAGGGCUUUCCUUCUUCCUCUGGAAUUGGCUUUGGCCUUGAGAAGGGGAGAACGAUAGGGCCUAGCACUGUCUGCAUGGGGAGUCAGAGACGAGAGGCUGAGCUUCGGGCAGGUGUAAUCUCCGGAGGUUUUCUGUGAGAGCGGGCAUGGUUCAGCCCAAGGCCUUGGAGGGCACUCAGCGCAGGGACACACAGGCAGAGGUAAAGACGGGUGUGAGUGUGCAAUGGCAGGAGUGUUCGUAAGCACAGAGUUGGACUCUGCUGAGCCCCUGGAAGGCUGGCUGUGUGGCCCAGUUAGUAUGGUGAGGCCCUGCCUGGGUCGCCAGCACCCAGCACCACAAGAGCAAAAGGACCUGGGACACCGUAAAACAGACCUGGCCUGCCGUCCCCGGCCCUGCAGCUGACAUUUUAAGGGAAACAGACAAUAAAGACAAAUAGGUAAACAGUGUUGCAUGUUAGAUGGUGACAGUGCCACAGUGCCACGGGGACAGUAAGAGAGACAAGGGGUAAAGAGGGAAGGGGUGGGCUGAACGCUGUGGGGCUGCAGAGCCGGGGGUGCGGCCUUCCCUUGGACGCCCGUGUAGAAGCUGGGACUUGACCGUGAGCAGAUGUGGGUCAGAUGACAGUGACAGAGUAGGGUUUAGGGUGAUUUCCUCACAGUGCUGCUCAGGGAUCGGGGGUUCUGAGUGCUAAGAUGUGUCCGUGGCCCCCUGAGCAGGCAUUGGCGGGCCAGUG